GUGGGGAAUCUUGCGCAAUGGGCGAAAGCCUGACGCAGCCAUGCCGCGUGAAUGAUGAAGGUCUUAGGAUUGUAAAAUUCUUUCACCGGGGACGAUAAUGACGGUACCCGGAGAAGAAGCUCCGGCUAACUUCGUGCCAGCAGCCGCGGUAAUACGAAGGGGGCUAGCGUUGCUCGGAAUUACUGGGCGUAAAGGGCGCGUAGGCGGACAGCUUAGUCAGAGGUGAAAGCCUAGGGCUCAACCUUGGAAUUGCCUUUGAUACUGGCUGUCUUGAGUUUGGGAGAGGGGAGUGGGACUCCGAGUGUAGAGGUGAAAUUCGUAGAUAUUCGGAAGAACACCAGUGGCGAAGGCGACUCACUGGCCCAAUACUGACGCUGAGGCGCGAAAGCGUUGGGAGCAAACAGGAUUAGAUUCCCUGGUAGUCC
rnacentral:rRNA from 1 species